rnacentral:rRNA from 1 species
UGAGGAAUAUUGGACAAUGGAUGGAAAUCUGAUCCAGCCAUGCCGCGUGCAGGAAGACGGUCCUAUGGAUUGUAAACUGCUUUAGCAUGGGAGCAAUAAGGUCCACGAGUGGUCCGAUGAGAGUAGCAUACGAAUAAGCAUCGGCUAACUCCGUGCCAGCAGCCGCGGUAAUACGGAGGACGCAAGCGUUAUCCGGAUUCAUUGGGUUUAAAGGGUGCGUAGGCGGCUUGGUAAGUCAGCGGUGAAAUUCCAGUGCUCAACAUUGGCCGUGCCGUUGGUACUGCUGGGCUUGAAUGCGGAUGCCGUGGG